rnacentral:rRNA from 1 species
GAUUCCCCUAGUAACUGCGAGUGAAGCGGGAAAAGCUCAAAUUUAAAAUCUGGCGGUCUUUGGCCGUCCGAGUUGUAGUCUGGAGAAGUGCUUUCCGCGCUGGACCGUGUAUAAGUCUCUUGGAACAGAGCGUCAUAGAGGGUGAGAAUCCCGUCUUUGACACGGACUACCAGUGCUUUGUGAUGCGCUCUCAAAGAGUCGAGUUGUUUGGGAAUGCAGCUCAAAAUGGGUGGUAAAUUCCAUCUAAAGCUAAAUAUUGGCGAGAGACCGAUAGCGAACAAGUACCGUGAGGGAAAGAUGAAAAGCACUUUGGAAAGAGAGUUAAACAGUACGUGAAAUUGCUGAAAGGGAAACGCUUGAAGUCAGUCGCGUCUGCCGGAACUCAGCCUUGCUUUUGCUUGGUGCAUUUUCCGGUUGACGGGCCAGCAUCGAUUUUGACCGUCGGAAAAGGGCUAGGGAAAUGUGGCACCUUCGGGUGUGUUAUAGUCUCUGGUCGCAUACGACGGUUGGGAUCGAGGACCGCAGCGCGCCGCAAGGCAGGGGUUCGCCCACUUUCGCGCUUAGGAUGCUGGCAUAAUGGCUUUAAACGACCCGUCUUGAAACACGGACCAAGGAGUCUAACAAACCUGCGAGUGUUUGGGUGGUAAACCCGAGCGCGUAAUGAAAGUGAAAGUUGAGACCUCUGUCGUGGAGGGCAUCGACGCCCGGACCUGACGUUCUCUGAAGGAUCCGCGGUAGAGCAUGUUUGUUGGGACCCGAAAGAUGGUGAACUAUGCCUGAAUAGGGUGAAGCCAGAGGAAACUCUGGUGGAGGCUCGUAGCGAUUCUGACGUGCAAAUCGAUCGUCAAAUUUGGGUAUAGGGGCGAAAGACUAAUCGAACCAUCUAGUAGCUGGUU